GGGUUGUGAGGUUAAGCGACUAAGCGUACACGGUGGAUGCCCUGGCAGUCAGAGGCGAUGAAGGGCGUGCUAAUCUGCGAUAAGCGCCGGUAAGGUGAUAUGAACCGUUAUAACCGGCGAUACCCGAAUGGGGAAACCCAGUGUGACUCGUCACACUAUCAUUAACUGAAUCCAUAGGUUAAUGAGGCGAACCGGGGGAACUGAAACAUCUAAGUACCCCGAGGAAAAGAAAUCAACCGAGAUUCCCCCAGUAGCGGCGAGCGAACGGGGAGGAGCCCAGAGCCUGAAUCAGCAUGUGUGUUAGUGGAAGCGUCUGGAAAGGCGCGCGAUACAGGGUGACAGCCCCGUACACAAAAGCGCAUGUGCUGUGAGCUCGAUGAGUAGGGCGGGACACGUGGUAUCCUGUCUGAAUAUGGGGGGACCAUCCUCCAAGGCUAAAUACUCCUGACUGACCGAUAGUGAACCAGUACCGUGAGGGAAAGGCGAAAAGAACCCCGGCGAGGGGAGUGAAAAAGAACCUGAAACCGUGUACGUACAA
rnacentral:rRNA from 1 species